UUGGGAAUCUUGGACAAUGGGGGAAACCCUGAUCCAGCCAUGCCGCGUGAGUGAUGAAGGCCUUCGGGUUGUAAAACUCUUUCGACGGGGACGAUAAUGACGGUACCCGUAGAAGAAGCUCCGGCUAACUUCGUGCCAGCAGCCGCGGUAAUACGAAGGGGGCUAGCGUUGUUCGGAAUUACUGGGCGUAAAGCGCGCGCAGGCGGCUAUCCAAGUCAGUGGUGAAAGCCCGGAGCUCAACUCCGGAACUGCCAUUGAAACUGUUUAGCUUGAGGACGAGAGAGGUGAGUGUAAUUCCCAGUGUAGAGGUGAAAUUCGUAGAUAUUGGGAAGAACACCAGUGGCGAAGGCGGCUCACUGGCUCGUAUCUGACGCUCAGGCGCGAUAGCGUGGGGAUCAAACA
rnacentral:rRNA from 1 species